GCAGCAGCCAAAGCGGCGGUGGAUUUAGUGGGCAAAGACUCUCUAGUGUAGAUAAGAGUAACAAGAAACGCAAUAGUGAAGAAAGAAACAAAGGCAAGGAGCCAUAAGCGAUUGGAGCUUCCUUGUUUUUGGACAUAAGGGUGAAGAAGAAUAAGCUUUGUAUUGUUAUUGUUAUUGCUCUUCAUCCUUCUUGUGCAAAAGAGAGAGCAAUGAAAAUCCUCCCUUCUCUCGUUCUUGGUGGUCAAGAUU
rnacentral:misc_RNA from 1 species